rnacentral:rRNA from 1 species
GUCUACGGCCAUACCACCCUGAACGCGCCUGAUCUCGUCUGAUCUCGGAAGCUAAGCAGGGUCAGGCCUGGUUAGUACUUGGAUGGGAGACCAUUUGGGUUUUUUUUCACAUGGAAU